rnacentral:rRNA from 1 species
GACGAACGCUGGCGGCGUGCUUAACACAUGCAAGUCGAACGGAAAGGCCCUGCUUUUGUGGGGUGCUCGAGUGGCGAACGGGUGAGUAACACGUGAGUAACCUGCCCUUGACUUUGGGAUAACUUCAGGAAACUGGGGCUAAUACCGGAUAGGAGCUCCUGCUGCAUGGUGGGGGUUGGAAAGUUUCGGCGGUUGGGGAUGGACUCGCGGCUUAUCAGCUUGUUGGUGGGGUAGUUGCUUACCAAGGUUUUGACGGGUAGCCGGCCUGAGAGGGUUACCGGCCACAUUGGGACUGAGAUACGGCCCAGAAUCCUACGGGAGGCAGCAGUGGGGAAUAUUGCACAAUGGGGGGAAGCCUGAUGCAGAAACGCCGCGUGCGGGAUGACGGCCUUCGGGUUGUAAACCGCUUUCGCCUGUGACGAAGCGUGAGUGACGGUAAUGGGUAAAGAAGCACCGGCUAACUACGUG